CCUACGGGAGGCAGCAGUGAGGAAUAUUGGUCAAUGGGCGCGAGCCUGGACCAGCCAAGUAGCGUGAAGGAUGACUGCCCUACGGGUUGUAAACUUCUUUUAUAAAGGAAUAAAGUGAGGCACGUGUGCCUUUUUGUAUGUACUUUAUGAAUAAGGAUCGGCUAACUCCGUGCCAGCAGCCGCGGUAAUACGGAGGAUCCGAGCGUUAUCCGGCGUUAUUGGGUUUACGGGGGGCGUAGCUGGGUUGUGAAGUCAGUUGUGAAAGUUGGGGGCGCAACCGUGAAAGUGCAAUGGAGACUGGCAGGGUGGAGUACAGGGGAGGUAGGCGGAAUGCGUGGGGUAGCGGGG
rnacentral:rRNA from 1 species